rnacentral:tRNA from 1 species
CCAGGUAGCUCAGUCGGUAGAGCAGAGGACUGAAAAUCCUCGUGUCGGUGGUUCAAUUCCACCCCUGGC